UGAUGAGAAAGUUUGCAGUGGUCCAGUGGGUCAGUGGAGAGGAUGCUGGGAUGUAUAGCGAGGUGAAAACCGAUGCCAUACGUAAAUAUGAUGACACCAAGAUGGAUGACGAUGGAUACCCACAAACGGACUAUUCGACUGCUGUGGAGUGGCUAAAACAUGGAUGGCCAGUGUACAUGGCCUCUAUCAAAUUUGUGAGCAACAACCGAUAACCGAUAAUUUAAUGCUAAAAUUAGAGAAUUACUGGGGUUGGAGUCUGAUGCAAGUAACAAGCCUCUGCCUAAGAAAAGGAGCUCAGUCCUACCAUCAAGAUAUACAGAUUCAGAUGAAACUGAUGUUGAGAAUACACCGAGCCAAAAGAAAAGGACAGUGGUUCACAAACCACAGAGAAAUGUUGCCCAAAUGAUUGUUGAUCAGUAUCAAGCCACAACCUUGACAGACACUCAGAAGAAGCUGAACGACUUGGAGGAGGAAAAUGAAAAAUUGAGAAAUGACAAUGAAAAAUUAAGAACAAUGCUUAUUAAAGGCAUGUAUUGGUGUUAUUGUCCUAUUGUGCUAAAACAUGCAGUCAGCAUUUCAGACUUUUAGAUUUUUAUUGAACUGUUGUUUUGUUCCAAUAAUAUUGUUUAAUUUGGUAUGUAAAGAUGAGACAAACACUCUAAUGGCAUGCAAUCAAAAUAAUUAUUGGUAACUACA